rnacentral:rRNA from 1 species
CCCUUAGAUGUUCUGGGCCGCACGCGCGCUACACUGAACAGUUCAACAAGUCUUAACCUUGGCCGAUAGGUCUGGGUAAUCUUUGAACGCUGUUCGUGAUUGGGAUAGACCUUUGCAAUUAUGGGUCUUCAACGAGGAAUUCCUAGUAAACGCAAGUCAUCAGCUUGCAUUGAUUACGUCCCUGCCCUUUGUACACACCGCCCGUCGCACCUACCGAUUGAAUGGUCCGGUGAAAUCUCGGGACGGCGGCUUGGUCGCUUGCGUCCGACUGCUGAAACUUGAUUAAACCAUAUCAUUUAGAGGAAGGUGAGGUCGUAACA